UACGAAGGGGGCUAGCGUUGCUCGGAAUCACUGGGCGUAAAGCGCACGUAGGCGGCUUGUUAAGUCAGGGGUGAAAUCCUGGAGCUCAACUCCAGAACUGCCUUUGAUACUGGCAAGCUUGGAGUCCGGGAGAGGUGAGUGGAACUGCGAGUGUAGAGGUGAAAUUCGUAGAUAUUAGGAAGAACACCAGUGGCGAAGGCGGCUCACUGGCCCGGUACUGACGCUGAGGCGCGAAAGCGUGGGGAGCAAACAGG
rnacentral:rRNA from 1 species